UUUCGCCGCCGCCCCUCACCUCGCCGCCAUCCCCGUCUUUCUACUCCUCACUCGCUCAAGCCUCCCGUCGCUCUCCCUCGAAUUUCAGUCGCUGUCCAACUCCUCGACGUCCCCAUCUUGCCCCCACGUCCAUCUCCGCCUCUCUGCUCGAUCGAGCAGUCAAUGAGGAGGAACAGCGACAGAGAGCAGGCAUCCUCGAUUAGUUUCCCGUGGUUAAUGCUUACAGUCCUCUCCUACUGGUCUGGCAUGGCCAUAAAAGAAAAUCCAGUAUGGGCGACGGCAGGCCUCCGUACCGGAACAUCUAGGUGCCGCUGCACCACUUCGCGCCGCUGAAGCAGUCGUGGUCGGAGAUUGGAAUCUGCAUCCAGGUGCCGACACGCCCGUCUACGAGCACAUGAAGGUUGGAAUCUGCAUGCUCCUCAAGGGAUGCAUCGUCGCUCCAAAUUAUCAAGGUAUCUUCCCAAACAAAGUGUGAGCCACCAAGAUAAGUUAAUGGCGCUAAGAAAACCAGAGAAAUUAUCAGAUGCAUCCUUCAGACAUAUGAGUUGGACCACCACAUCAACGUUGUUAGUCCAAGUUCCAACAAAUAUGGUUCAUCCUCACACUGAUUUUGUAUUGUCUCUGGUAUGAAUCUUUGUUGAUCUAUAUUUGGUUCAGUUCAUUUCCAGCGCAUCCCUUUUCGUUGCUGCUGUGCCCCUGUGUGACCAGAUGCAGCGUGGUACCGAGAUGAGGCAAAGUCAUUCUUCUAUUCUGGCAAGGGGACUGACAUCCCACGGUGCCCAGGUUCCUCGGCUGACAGCGCGGUGUAUAGGAGGAUGGAGCGAGACAGUGGCCGCAUGCUGCAGCACAACAGCUAUGCUGAGCGCGACGAGGAACGCCUACUCCUGGUGGUCGACGUGAAGUGUAGUAGGCUAUCUUGUGAAAACUAAUAAUGUUUAUCUCUGUCUAACAACUUAGUGUUGAGUCAAUGAAUGGACAUAUUUGUAGCAUUUGCAUCAGUGGAUGGUCGCUAGGUACAUAUAAUGCUUCUUCGGUUCAGAAAACUAAAGUAGAGAACAAUUCAAUGCAUUGUAGAGACAUAUAACAUUCCUGUGGCCUACUAUGUUCCAUAGGAUCAUGCACAAAAAUAAGGUGUUGUCUCUCAACCUCUUGGGUGUAUUAUGUUCCACCCUUGAAGCACCAUUUCCUUCCAAAACACCAAAAAGAUGCAUAUGAUUAGAAAAGAGCUCUUUUUACUUAUCCUUUGCCUAUAGCUUUUUUGUCCGCAUGGUAGAUUCAAUGAUCAUAGUUUCUAUUAAUUCCCUAAUUUCUUUGAUUUUAUUGACUCUGAAGUUAACUGUAUUUACUGCAUGGACCCGCUUGACCUUGAGUAAGUGACCAUCUCAUAUUAGGUUUGAAUGGAACUUCAUUUAUCUUUCAGCAGUUUUUCAAAUUUGUCUACAAGUUGUUUGAUGGCAAUAGUCCAAGCAAGCUGCAAGUGCGAAUGUAUAUGCAUAAUUUUGUGCUCGGUCAAUAUAUUUUCUAAGAACUUGCUUCAUCUGAUAAGAGCGAAUUAGUGUUAUUAACAUUUCAUAAUAAUGGAAUUGAAGGAAAUAAAAAAUAAGUCCAUUCCAAUUCAUAUUGACUUGCUGACACUUCUAGGAAGGAAGUGUGUCAUUGUUUACUAUGGUUUUGCAGCAUCAGAGAUUUUAUCCAUCAUAUAAUUGCAUUGGCAUUCAAGCCAAUCUGGCCAUUAAUCCUAUUCUUAGAUUAUUUUGCAGUUUUAUGCAUGCUCCUUAAUGACGUAUCAUGAAGUUUUUUGCCGUUUUUUUUGUUAUGCAUGCAACUAGAUAUGGAGAUAGGGCAUAACUACAUGUGAUUGCACGUAGAAAACUUUGACCCAAAAAAGGCUGCUGAUUUCUUUUGAGAUGAAAUGUUGAUAUAAUUAAAGCAUCUUUCAUGAACCAGCAGUAUGAACAUUUUUAUUCACACAUUUCAAACUUGAUUAAUUCUAAAGUAGACAUUAUUAUCCUUUUACUGAAUAAUAACACGAAAUAUUAAUAUAAAUUAUCUACGUAGCUACAAAUUGUUCACCAUAUAGGUUUAUGUUUAUCCAAAAUCUGCUCGGAACGACCUUAAGAUAAUUUUGUUCUUUUAUGUCCGAGUUAUAUCUACUUAUCAGUUUUUAUAAAUUUAUAGUUUAUAUAUUUGGUUUAUGGUUUACUUUACAAAGCUACAAUAACAUAUCACUUCUUUUUAUCGAGUGUCACACUAGAUAGUUCGAUCAGAAAACUUCGGGUGAAACUAUACCGUCCUUUGAAUCAAAACCACUCCGAGCCAACUAAGUAUCAAUUCUUUAGUAAGUGCAAUACGGUUGCUUCGAUGGUCCUCCUAUGCAAUGGCGGUGCUUUAAUUGGAACACAGCUUUAUGAUUCAGGCGCAUUUUUUGGUUGGUUGUGCCAUGGAGGUGGCCACCAAUCUAUAUCAUGAUGGUGGCCGUGUAGUAAGAACUGGUUAGCCAAUUAGGUUUCACGAAUGGUUGGCGAUGGUACCAUGGAGCGGAGACUUAACAUAAUUUCUUUACUAUGUACAUGCCAAAAGAUUUUCUCUCAAAGUGUGGCUCUUCAGUCUGCAUCAUGUUAACUGGUAUGUUUUCUUGUUUCCAAUGCUGUAGAACUUAAACUAAUCUUUCUUCCUUACAGUUUUAUCCAAUUAUCCAUAUUUUAUAUGCAUUGGUCUUAGUUGAUUCCAGCUUUUAUUAUGGUCUUAUUUAACCUAAUAAUUGUUGUGCAUUUUCAAAGGUUUCUCCGUGCCUCUGGCAUUGUGCCUCCACUUUACUCUAUUAACAGGGUGAGUGUACCAAAUAUAAAAUAGAGUAGAGAAAUAGCUACCUGCGAUCACAAAGUUAUCAGCAAGUUCCAACAUUUUUUACUUCUACGUUUAGGGUGAAAUUAGCAUGAAGCACAUGUUCCCUUUGAAAAAAUUACAUAUCACUGGAGGUGUCUUCAUAGUUUUCUGGUUCCUCGCUGCAGCGCAAAAGUUAAAUAAUUCUUUUACAUUUUUUCGGUACAUUUGAGUGGAGAACCCAUAUUCUUUAUCUGUUGGCAUGUGAGAUAUGUAGAUUUUAAGCUAUGAUAUAGCUGAGUAUAUACUGGAAGUUGUUUUGAGGGAACUGAAAUUUUAGUAGUCUUAAGAUCGGCCUUUAUACUUUAUUAUUACUUCCCACCGUAUGUGCUAUGUGUCACUUACAUUUUUUUUAUGA